GUAUGGGGAUCUGCCCGAUAGAGGGGGAUAACUACUGGAAACGGUGGCUAAUACCGCAUAAUGUCUACGGACCAAAGCAGGGGCUCUUCGGACCUUGCACUAUCGGAUGAGCCCAUAUGGGAUUAGCUAGUAGGUGGGGUAAAGGCUCACCUAGGCGACGAUCUCUAGCUGGUCUGAGAGGAUGAUCAGCCACACUGGGACUGAGACACGGCCCAG
rnacentral:rRNA from 1 species